rnacentral:tRNA from 1 species
GCGCCCGUAGCUCAGUCGGAUAGAGCACCGGUUUCCUAAACCGGGGGUCGGAGGUUCGAGUCCUCCCGGGCGCG